UCAAAGAGAAGAGAGCUGUCUUCAAUCCAUUCAUGGGUUGUGGUAAGAUUUCAAUUAGCUGCCGACUCAUUCAUCCAAAUACCGAGUCAAAAGCAUGGCACUCGGUAAAUGAGUGAAUGAUGCGGGAGACAAAUUGGAUCUUAAACUCCUUGCGGUUGGACUGAAGGGAGCUCCCUUCAUAUUUUCA
rfam:Helianthus annuus linkage group 10, whole genome shotgun sequence.